CGCUGGCGGCGUGCUUAAUACAUGCAAGUCAACGACUUUUAGAGUAGCAAUAUUCUAAAGGAAGUGGCGCACGGGUGAGUAACACGUAGGUAAUCUGCCUUCAGGACUGACACAACUCGUCGAAAGACGGGCUAAUAUCAGAUAAUGCAGCGGCUCCGCAUGGAGACAGUUGUUAAAGUACAAGCGCCUGAAGAUGAGCCUGCGGUCCAUUAGCUAGUUGGUAGAGUAAAAGCCUACCAAGGCAACGAUGGAUAGCUGGUCUGAGAGGAUGAUCAGCCACACUGGAACUGAGACACGGCCCAGACUCCUACGGGAGGCAGCAGUAAGGAAUAUUGCUCAAUGGCCGAAAGGCUGAAGCAGCAACGCCGCGUGAAGGAUGAAUGGCCUUUGGCCUGUAAACUUCUGUAAAAAGGGAAAAACAGUCAGGUAUAUCCUGAUUUGAUUGUACCUUUGAAGUAAGCCCCGGCUAACUACGUG
rnacentral:rRNA from 1 species